rnacentral:rRNA from 1 species
UUGUAAAGCACUUUCAGUGGGGAGGAGGGUACUCUGGUUAAGAGCUAGAAGUAUUGGACGUUACCCACAGAAGAAGCACCGGCUAACUCCGUGC